AUUCCUAUACACUAUCAGCUUCUUCGAUUCCAUUCCCUUCAUUUACCAAUUGUUAACCAAACUCAUCUUUCUUUCUUUUCCUUCUUCGCUCACACUUGUUGAUUAAGACGACGUCGUUACGUUACCUUCGUCAAUCUCUAUCUCGUGUCGUGUGUGUCUCUAGGGUUAAUUUUCCCUUCUUCAACCUCUGUCAAGUGUCAACAAACAAGUGCUUUUUCCACACUCUUCGUUAACCACCGUGUGAUUUCGUUUAGGGUUAAUUCCCUUCAAUUUAUAAUCAAAGAUUUCAAGAAAGAAAGAAACAACGACCACUUAUCUCAUCGCUCACAGAGAUUAAAUUUCUCUUUGUAGUCUUCGUUAAUAUCUUCUCUUGUUCAUCGAUUCUGUUCGAUUCAGUUUCGUAUUUGGGAAUUACAGAGAAAAAAACCAGAAUUUGAAUUCAAAUCAAGAAAAGGAAGGUUCGAAAUUAUUACGGGAAUCUCGUCUUCGCUGUCUUCUCAGUAUCUUUGAUUUCUCAGGGUUUCACAUUCACUGAUUCACUUGACGAAUCUUGGAAGCACUGAUUAUUUCUGCCCUGCUUCUGAAGUUAAGUUUAAUUUUGAAUUAUCUGAUUCCGAAAAAUCACAUACAAAAAAGUCAAGGGUUUGUGUUUUUUCUCUACACCCCCUAUUUGUAUCCUAACUCAGUAAUUCCAUGUAACUAUCUGAUCAAGCUUAUCCGAUUUAAGAGUCAACCAUGUUUGCCAUUUUAACAUAUUUCUUUAAGUUUUUGAAGAAACGUCAUUUUGUUUUGCUUCUUGUAGUUUGUAUUUUUGACUAUAUUGGAGGGUUUUUGUAUAGAUGAAACAAAAACAAUGGGCAGCUAGUACUUCCAAAGAAGGUCAUUGUUCUUUGCAAUGAUGUGGAAGGAAUAUAUUUUCCAAGCCUUCACUUGUAAGCAUAAACUCCUUCACUGCUUACCUUUCUGCAAGAUGUCAACUAGCUGUUCAUCAAGAAUGCUGUGGAGCAAGAAAUGUUCGACACUUUACAUCAUGGGUUUGUAAAGCUUGUGAAACACCAGACAUCACACGAGAGUGUUGUCUUUGCCUCGUAAAAGGUUGUGCUCUAAAGCCUACUGAUGUUGGUCCACUAUGGGUUCAUGUCACUUCACUCACUUGUGUCUGGUUUCGACCUGAAGUUUCUUUUGCUAGUGAUGAGUUAAUGGAGCCUGCUUUGGGUAUCUUGAGUAUUCCAUCAAAUUCUUUUGUGAAGAUUUGUGUUAUUUGUAAGCAAAUCCAUGGUUCAUUCACACAAUGUGUCAAGUGUUCCACAUGUUUCAUUGCCAUGUGUGCAUGAAGGGCUGAUUAUCGCAUAGUGUUGCAUUGUUCAAAGAAAAAUGGUAAACAGACAACAAUAAUGGUUUCUUAUUGUGCAUAUCACAGGGCUUCCUAUCCAGACACUGUUUUGAUUGUACAAACACCUCAUUGGGUCAUUCCAACUACAACCCUUACCCAAAAUAUGAUAAAAGUUGGGUAAAGAUUAAUUUCAUCGAACAUAAUAAAGGUAGAAGAAACUCAUCUAGCAGAUAAUACCGAACAAGGUCCUUUUUCUGCUGCUAAGUGCUGAAUCUUUGUAAGAACAAACCACCCAAAAAAGGUACCUUGGAAAAUAUUUUUGUUCUUGGUGAUUAUUUUUUUAUUAUCUCUGUUAUUUAUUUUAUACUUUUGAGUUUCGGCCUUAGUUGCGGCCAAUCUGUGGUAUGUUAGUGCUCCACUUUGAUAAAUUGAGAUGAAUAUAUUAUGGCUCAUUGACCGUAGACAAUAUGGGAACAUACGAUGACCACCGUCUUUUGUUGAGAAA